CACAGGUGGUCGGGUAGAGAAUACCAAGGCGCUUGAGAGAACUCGGGUGAAGGAACUAGGCAAAAUGGUACCGUAACUUCGGGAGAAGGUACGCUCUUGAUGGUGAAGUCCCUCGCGGAUGGAGCUGACGAGAGUCGCAGAUACCAGGUGGCUGCAACUGUUUAUUAAAAACACAGCACUGUGCAAAAUCGCAAGAUGACGUAUACGGUGUGACGCCUGCCCGGUGCCGGAAGGUUAAUUGAUGGGGUUAGCGCAAGCGAAGCUCUUGAUCGAAGCCCCGGUAAACGGCGGCCGUAACUAUAACGGUCCUAAGGUAGCGAAAUUCCUUGUCGGGUAAGUUCCGACCUGCACGAAUGGCGUAAUGAUGGCCACGCUGUCUCCACCCGAGACUCAGUGAAAUUGAAAUCGCUGUGAAGAUGCAGUGUACCCGCGGCUAGACGGAAAGACCCCGUGAACCUUUACUACAGCUUGGCACUGAACAUUGAACCUACAUGUGUAGGAUAGGUGGGAGGCUAUGAAGACGUGACGCCAGUUGCGUUGGAGCCGUCCUUGAAAUACCACCCUUGUAUGUUUGAUGUUCUAACUUAGACCCGUUAUCCGGGUUGAGGACAGUGCCUGGUGGGUAGUUUGACUGGGGCGGUCUCCUCCCAAAGAGUAACGGAGGAGCACGAAGGUGGGCUAAUCACGGUUGGACAUCGUGAGGUUAGUGCAAUGGCAUAAGCCCGCUUAACUGCGAGAAUGACGGUUCGAGCAGGUGCGAAAGCAGGUCAUAGUGAUCCGGUGGUUCUGUAUGGAAGGGCCAUCGCUCAACGGAUAAAAGGUACUCCGGGGAUAACAGGCUGAUACCGCCCAAGAGUUCAUAUCGACGGCGGUGUUUGGCACCUCGAUGUCGGCUCAUCACAUCCUGGGGCUGAAGUCGGUCCCAAGGGUAUGGCUGUUCGCCAUUUAAAGUGGUACGCGAGCUGGGUUUAGAACGUCGUGAGACAGUUCGGUCCCUAUCUGCCGUGGGCGUUGGAAGAUUGAAGGGGGCUGCUCCUAGUACGAGAGGACCGGAGUGGACGAACCUCUGGUGUUCGGGUUGUGUCGCCAGACGCAUUGCCCGGUAGCUAAGUUCGGAAUUGAUAAGCGCUGAAAGCAUCUAAGCGCGAAGCGAGCCCUGAGAUGAGUCUUCCCUGAUACUUUAAGUAUCCUAAAGGGUUGUUCGAGACUAGAACGUUGAUAGGCAGGGUGUGUAAGCGUUGUGAGGCGUUGAGCUAACCUGUACUAAUUGCCCGUGAGGCUUAACCAU
rnacentral:rRNA from 1 species